GAAUUCGCCCUUAGAGUUUGAUCCUGGCUCAGGACGAACGCUGGCGGCGUGCUUUAAACAUGCAAGUCGAACGGGAUAUUUGAGUAGCUUGCUACGAUAAUAUCUAGUGGCGGAUGGGUGAGUAACACGUGAGCAACCUGCCUACUACAGGGGAAUAACAUCUAGAAAUAGGUGCUAAUACCGCAUAUGACCACAGACCGGCAUCGGUCAGGGGUGAAAGGAGUUAAAUCUGGUAGUAGAGGGGCUUGCGCAUCAUUAGCUAGUUGGUGAGGUAACUGCUCACCAAGGCUACGAUAGGUAGCCGGCCUGAGAGGGUGAACGGCCACACUGGAACUGAGACACGGUCCAGACUCCUACGGGAGGCAGCAGUGGGGAAUAUUGCACAAUGGAGGAAACUCUGAUGCAGCGACGUCGCGUGAAUGAUGAAGGCCUUCGGGUCGUAAAAUUCUGUCCUUGGGGAAGAUAAUGACGGUACCCAAGGAGGAAGCCCCGGCUAACUACGUGCCAGCAGCCGCGGUAAUACGUAGGGGGCGAGCGUUGUCCGGAAUUAUUGGGCGUAAAGGGUUCGCAGGCGGUCUGAUAAGUCAGAUGUGAAAGACUAUGGCUCAACCAUGGCAAGCAUUUGAAACUGUUAGACUUGAGUUAAGGAGAGGAAAGCAGAAUUCCUAGUGUAGCGGUGAAAUGCGUAGAUAUUAGGAGGAACACCAGUGGCGAAGGCGACUUUCUGGACUUAUACUGACGCUGAGGAACGAAAGCGUGGGGAGCAAACAGGAUUAGAUACCCUGGUAGUCCACGCUGUAAACGAGAAGUGAUAGGUGUCGGGGGUCAAACCUCGGUGCCGGAGUAAACGCAUUAAGCACUCCGCCUGGGGAGUACGUACGCAAGUAUGAAACUCAAAGGAAUUGACGGGGACCCGCACAAGCAGCGGAGCAUGUGGUUUAAUUCGAAGCAACGCGAAGAACCUUACCAGGGCUUGACAUGCCACUGACCGCGCUAGAGAUAGCGUUUUACCUUCGGGUACAGUGGACACAGGUGGUGCAUGGUUGUCGUCAGCUCGUGUCGUGAGAUGUUGGGUUAAGUCCCGCAACGAGCGCAACCCCUAUUUUUAGUUGCCAUCAUUAAGUUGGGCACUCUAGAGAGACUGCCGAUGAUAAAUCGGAGGAAGGUGGGGAGGACGUCAAAUCAUCAUGCCCCCUAUGACCUGGGCUACACGCGUGCUACAAUGGCUAAUACAAAGAGUUGCAAAACCGUGAGGUAGAGCUAAUCUCAUAAAGUUAGUCUCAGUUCGGAUUGUAGUCUGCAACUCGACUACAUGAAGUUGGAAUCGCUAGUAAUCGUAAAUCAGAAUGUUACGGCGAAUAAGAGCUCGAGUCUUGUACUCACCGCCCGUCA
rnacentral:rRNA from 1 species